CCUCAGCCCUUCUCCUCUUCCCCCUCCAGCACCACAGGUUCCAGUCACACCUGUGACUCUGCAGUGCUGUCCCUAUGGCUGGGUUGGGUCCAAUGGGGUCUGCUACUACUUGUCAAGGGAUUACAGGAGCUGGGAGCAGGCUCAGGAGCGGUGCUCCGAGCUCGGGGCCUCCCUGGCCAUUCUCAAGGAUGAGGCCAUGGAUUUGCUCUUCCGCCUCCGCGGGAACGUCGAUUACUGGAUCGGGCUGCGCAGACGGGGCGAGCGCCUGCACUGGGGGGACGGCAGCAGCUACAGCUCCUGGGUUCCUGUCUUUGGAAAUUCUGAGUGUGUGUACCUGGCUGAGGAUAGACUUAAGAGUGAGAACUGCUCAAUCGAGCAGCCGUAUGUCUGCAGCAAGGCCCAAGCUGCCCUGUGACAGGGCUGCAGAAAGGACCUUGUCCCUGCUGGGCAGUGCCAGCUUCAGCUCUGAGCCCAGCACAGAGCUGAAGCUGGCACUGCCCAGCGGGGACAAGGUUCGUCAGCUGCAACCUGUGUUAAUAUGAAAACCAAUAACUUUAUUUUAAUUUAUAACAUCUUUUAAUUAUCUGUAUUGGGAAAUCCAAAUUGCCCUGGGCUCUUGAAAAUCAUCACAAAUUGGCCUGCACAUGACACUUCUGGACUGUCUUUGGAAGAGGAAGAAGAGCAGCUGACAGUGCUGAGGAGGAAUCCCACUUUCGCCAUCAGGCACCUG
rnacentral:lncRNA from 1 species